rnacentral:rRNA from 1 species
UACAGAGGUCCCAAGCGUUGUUCGGAUUCACUGGGCGUAAAGGGUGCGUAGGCGGUCGGGUAAGUCUGGCGUGAAAUCUCCAAGCCUAACUUGGAAACUGCGUUGGAUACUAUCCGGCUCGAGGAAUGGAGGGGAGACUGGAAUUCCUGGUGUAGCGGUGAAAUGCGCAGAUAUCAGGAGGAACACCGGUGGCGAAGGCGGGUCUCUGGGCCGAUACUGACGCUGAGGAGCGAAAGCGUGGGGAGCGAACAGG